rnacentral:rRNA from 1 species
CAGCCGCCGCGGUAAUACAGAGGGUGCGAGCGUUAAUCGGAUUUACUGGGCGUAAAGCGUGCGUAGGCGGCUUCUUAAGUUGGAUGUGAAAUCCCUGAGCUUAACUUAGGAAUUGCAUUCGAUACUGGGAAGCUAGAGUAUGGGAGAGGAUGGUAGAAUUCCAGGUGUAGCGGUGAAAUGCGUAGAGAUCUGGAGGAAUACCGAUGGCGAAGGCAGCCAUCUGGCCUAAUACUGACGCUGAGGUACGAAAGCAUGGGGAGCAAACAGGAUUAGAUACCCCGGUAGUCCCUGUCUCUUAUAC